AGAAUGAUUCGUAUCAGAAUCGUCUCUGACCGAUUCCGCCAUCAAUUACACGUUUUUAAACCCUGUUUGUGACGCAGAGCGGGAGUGAAAUAGAGAGCUAUAGAGCGGCUGCACAGACGAUACAGAGAGCGAGCGAGAGAGAGAGAGAGAGAAAGAGAGAUGGUGAGGCCUUACAAGGUGAAAGGGUUUAAGCGGAAGAAGAGAGAAGAAGUAUACGACGAAGAUGAAGAACUGAAAGAGGAGGCGGAGGAUGAUGAACGGGAGACAGCAGCAGCAGAAGCAGGGGCAGAAGGAGAAGAGGAAGAAGACAAGAGGAGAGCAGAGGAGGCCGUGGAUGAACUUCCCGGGAUUCCAAUAGUGCCGACCAAUGCGCACUCAGGGGCUGGGGUCAUAGUCAUUCUAGAGAGGGCUUCUUUGGAAGUCGCGAAAGUCGGAAAGACUUACCAACUUCUAAAUUCGGAUGAUCACGUCAACUUUUUGCUGAAGCAUGGAAAAGAUCCUAAAAAUUACAGGCCUGACAUUGCUUUCCAGGCUAUUCUUACGAUUUUGGAUAGUCGGCUCAACAAGGCUGGAAGACUAAGAGCCCUCUAUGUGAAGACUGAGAAGGGAGUGCUUUUUGAAAUUAAACCCUAUGCUCGUCUCCCAAGGACAUUUAAGCGGUUUUCUGGCUUAAUUUUGCAACUACUACAAAAGCUCACUGUAAAUGCCAGCGGUAAGCGUGAAAAACUUUUGCGUGUGGUUAAGAAUCCUGUGACACGGUAUUUACCUCUGAACUCUCGCAAAAUAGGACUCUCACACAGUGCAGAAAGGAUGGUUAAAAUCCAGGACUAUGUUAAUAAUGCUACCAACAAUGAUGUGAACCUUGUUUUUGUGGUUGGUGCAAUGGCCCAUGGGAAAAUUAAUACCGAGUAUACUGAUGAUUUUAUAUCAGUUUAUAAGUAAAAUUUGCAUCGAGACAUAAAUGUGAACCUUUGAUCAUGGUUUUAAUAAUUGGAAUCAGAUCAGGUGAAUUGCCCGAUUCAAAUUAGAAUCGGCCAAACCCGAUUAUGAUUCCAGCCUAUUCCUGUAGCCCUCGUUUGAAUUUCCAUUAUUCAUGUUUGACCUUCAUUUUGGGCAACUGUUUCCUUAUUUUAAUCAAUGAAACUUACCUCUCAUAGCAAGAUCCCAAAUUUAUUGAAUCAAAAACUCAAAAAGCACAGAUUUUUGGGAAAUUCUUUGCUUCUCCUGAUCCCAAUUUUAUGGUUCUGGCUGAAUCCAGACUGAGUUCAUGUCUGAUUUCGUAUACUUGAACCUUGCCUUUGAUAGUUGUGUUUUUUCUAAUAAUUACUUGUUAAUAUAUCGUAUCUGAUGGAGUAAGAUUAUUGAAUUUCAUACUUUUUAAUGUUCUUUUUUAAUAGUUUAGUCUUUUUGCUACUUCCUAUAUUGUGGAUUCUAUGCCUAUAAGAUACGGUUUUCUAAGCUAGUUACCGACCCAGUUGAAAAUUCUUAAGGGCAUGGCCCAAGGUUCAAGAAGAAAUAUUUCUGGUUUGAUCUAAUCCUGGUCGAAACUGUCUGUUUCGGUGGUUGGUUUUGUUUGACCAUUUCGGUGAUUAAAUAGCUAUAUUUUGGCUCGAAACUUUAGGGAGACCCUACUUAAACAUCUCUAAACAUUAUGAAGCCUUUGGAUUGUUAAAAACACAUAAAAAAUGCUAGUUUGAUUUUGUACCCUAGGUUGGUAGUGUACUUGGCUGUAUACUUUUUCAAAUAUAGCCUAUGUUACACAUAAUUUAGUAACAGCUAAAUAUGCUAACAAUUUACAAGAAAAACCAUUUGAAUAUUAUUAUUUUGCAUUCCAAGUUUACCCUCCCACUUACAUGUUACAUUUCUCUUGCUUGUGUUCCUUCCCUUAUAAUUGAAUUUCCAAUAAAUUACAGUACUGCCACCCAUUGUUGAUCUCAAUUUAUUUAAAAUUCACUUUAUUUACUCUUUUGCCACUAAUCCUUUGGUGUGAGAUUUUUACUCUGUUUGGGCCCAUAGUGAUUUCAAAUAGGGUAUCCAAACCUUCCUCAGGAUUGCAUCAAUUUUCUUUUGUAGUGGUUUGUCUAUUCUUUAUAUGCUCCAACCCCCAAGAGAGGGGGGGGGGGUUGCUAUUGUCAAAAGGAGGACCAAAAGAAAUAAUUUUAUAUUCUUUCAGGUAACUGAGAGAAGUUACUUAACUGCAACUAAUUAACUCCACAAUUGCAAGAAAGAAGUUACUUCACUGCAACUAAUUAACUCCACAAUUGCAACAGAAAUAGGAGACCAGCUACUCAUCUCCAAUGAGCAAAUAAAUAAAAUAGGUGAAGAAAUUAGAAAAAAAAAUGGCAUUGGGAAAAUGUUUCCUAGAUACAAAAUUGGACUGGAUUUGAUAUCCUAUUUUUUUGAGUGAUUCUUACGGGAAGCACUUCUUUGAUUUGUAGAGGUGUCUUAAUAGUAAAUGAAUACAAACAUAGAUUACCCCUACGAAAUGCACAAGUAUAUUCAACCGCUGUUUAGAGUUUUGGUUUUCUAUGCUGCCCGGGAUGAAGAUUCUGAGCCUGAUGAGUGUGAGGAUGAGGAGAAGCUAAAGAUGUUCACUUCAGAAUGGAGAAGUUGUACUAAACAUGCCUUCAGUUCCUACAAAGAACAAAAGUACUAGUGAAGACACCCCUCUCCCACCCCCCCCCCCCCCCCACCCCAGAAAAAAGAAAGAAAAAAAAAUGAUGUACUUAUUAAUUCUUAAGCUGAAUAAGCCAAACUGUCUGAUUAUAUAAGCACCCUUUACAAUGAAAAAGAGAGUCCAGAACCCAUAAAACAUUUGAAAAUGAAGAGUCUUACAAAAGAUGCUUAAUAAGUUAAAAAAACAGCGCCCAAAACCAUUUUGCAUUUGGUUAGGGGGGAGGGGGGGAGGGGGAGUCUUUAUGAGAAAGGAGAAAGGGUGUAAUUCACUACUAUAAACGACAAGAAGUUGGGGCAGAUGUUUGAUAAGAAUGCUGCUUAUUGAUAGCCAGCCGGUUUUGAAAACCUUUCUCUGUCACUUACUGGUCUCUAUUGAUUCUGUCAAAGCCACAGAAGGGGCGGGCUGAUGAAUGAAUGUGGAUAGCACCAUGAGAAGGAUUAUUGAUGUAGAUCCCCAGUAUGGACUGAGCUAUUGCAGGAAGGAAGCCCAGCCCAAUUAGGGCCUUCGAACCAGUUUAGUGGUUUAGUUAGUCCUUCAGUGAAUAAAGGCCCAUUGGGCCCAUCGAUUCCUUUAGUGGAUAAAGACCCAUUGGGCCCAUCGAUUUAUAUUAAUAAAGCCCAUAAGUGGCUAUUAGUUAGUAGCUAGUUAGUUUCCUAAGUUGUCUAGGUUUCUAUGUUGAUUCCUAAUAGGAGUACAACUCCUAGUUUGAGUAUGACUGCUACUAUUGUAACUUCUGCCCUCUAUUUAAAAAGAGCUACUGUACUCAGAAAUUCAGACUUGAAUGAAAAAGAAUAUUGCAGUUUAAUUGCUUCUAACAGCUGAGAUAGCUGUGGGUGAGAUGCCCAGGCUGAGAUAGCCAUUCCCACCCACAUCUCUCUUGUGUAUUCUCUUCUCUACUGUUCAUUUCUGUUCUUGGUUAUUGUUUGCUGUGAGAUUCAAUUGAGAGAGAUUUCAGAUCUGUUAAGGUACUUAAGGACCAGAAUCGAUCAGCAUAAGGUUAGGGUUCUUGAAGCCCAUCGAUUGCCAAGAUCUGCCAAGCCUGAACUUGAUUCAUGAGACCCUUUUAAGGGUUUGUUCGAGGCUUCCAAAGGACCACUCGAUCCUUGUUUGAAGGCCAUCCAAGGUGACCUGCUGCGGUUCUUGAAAAUCCCCCUAUUUUCUCUAUUUAAAAGUCUGAAAUCAACUCUUGGAUCUCUCAACCCAACCGGCAGAAUUCAAAGAUAUUUGCUCAGCACCCUAGGGCCUCCAAUCAAGCCAAGUUUGGACUCCAUCUGAGCUUCCUAUCUCCAACCGCAGUUUCAGGCUACCCAUUGAGUGCUGCAUAUUGUUUAGGAAUGAUCUGCAAUGCUUUGGAGCAGAAAUGGAACAUCUUGUAAACCUGAACCUAAGAUUUUUCUACCAAAAAUAUUAAGGUCCAUCUUUCCUUGGUAUUUUGAUCAGUGAGAUUGCGAUAGAUUAUGCAGUUCGGUAGAGAUGGUGAAGCAUGAGACAGGAAAUGUAUUUUCCACCUCGAUUUUUGCAAAGAGUGUAAAAACUGCUGUGCAAUUAGUUGAAGAACUUGACCAUAGUGUCUGUGGGGGGAGAGGGGGUGGGGGGGUGGUGCAAAGAAUUCUCUCCAUCCUUUCCUGCAUUCUGCAAUGAAGGGAAUGUUCCAUCAAAUAACUUGGUUCUGUUUGGUUGUAAGAGAAAUUAAAUUGAAUGUAAGAAUUUUUAAACCUACAUUUUUUUUGGUAAUCAUGAUUCAACAUGAUCAUAGAAACUAAA